rnacentral:rRNA from 1 species
CACUCCUGCGGGAGGCAGCAGUGGGGAAUUUUGGACAAUGGGCGAAAGCCUGAUCCAGCAAUGCCGCGUGUGUGAAGAAGGCCUUCGGGUUGUAAAGCACUUUUGUCCGGACAGAAAUCCUUGGCUCUAAUACAGUCGGGGGAUGACGGUACCGGAAGAAUAAGCACCGGCUAACUACGUGCCAGCAGCCGCGGUAAUACGUAGGGUGCGAGCGUUAAUCGGAAUUACUGGGCGUAAAGCGUGCGCAGGCGGUUUGCUAAGACCGAUGUGAAAUCCCCGGGCUCAACCUGGGAACUGCAUUGGUGACUGGCAGGCUAGAGUAUGGCAGAGGGGGGUAGAAUUCCACGUGUAGCAGUGAAAUGCGUAGAGAUGUGGAGGAAUACCGAUGGCGAAGGCAGCCCCCUGGGCCAAUACUGACGCUCAUGCACGAAAGCGUGGGGAGCAAACAGGAUUAGAAACCCGAGUAGUCCCAUG